rnacentral:rRNA from 1 species
GACGAACGCUGGCGGCGUGCUUAACACAUGCAAGUCGAACGGAAAGGCCUCUUUCGGGGGGUACUCGAGUGGCGAACGGGUGAGUAACACGUGAGUAACCUGCCCUUGACUUUGGGAUAACUUCAGGAAACUGGGGCUAAUACCGGAUAGGAGCUCCUGCUGCAUGGUGGGGGUUGGAAAGUUUCGGCGGUUGGGGAUGGACUCGCGGCUUAUCAGCUUGUUGGUGGGGUAGUGGCUUACCAAGGCUUUGACGGGUAGCCGGCCUGAGAGGGUGACCGGCCACAUUGGGACUGAGAUACGGCCCAGACUCCUACGGGAGGCAGCAGGGGGGAAUAUUGCACAAGGGGUGGAAGCCUGAUGCAGCAACGCCGUGUGCGGGAUGACGGCCUUCGGGUUGUAAACCGCGUUCGCUCAUGACGAAGCUUUGUGUGACGGUAGUGGGUAAAGAAGCACCGGCUAACUACGUG